rnacentral:rRNA from 1 species
UGGGGAAUUUUGGACAAUGGGGGAAACCCUGAUCCAGCCAUCCCGCGUGUGCGAUGAAGGCCUUCGGGUUGUAAAGCACUUUUGGCAGGAAAGAAACGUCAUGGGUUAAUACCCCGUGAAACUGACGGUACCUGCAGAAUAAGCACCGGCUAACUACGUGCCAGCAGCCGCGGUAAUACGUAGGGUGCAAGCGUUAAUCGGAAUUACUGGGCGUAAAGCGUGCGCAGGCGGUUCGGAAAGAAAGAUGUGAAAUCCCGGAGCUCAACUUUGGAACUGCAUUUUUAACUACCGGGCUAGAGUGUGUCAGAGGGAGGUGGAAUUCCGCGUGUAGCAGUGAAAUGCGUAGAUAUGCGGAGGAACACCGAUGGCGAAGGCAGCCUCCUGGGAUAACACUGACGCUCAUGCACGAAAGCGUGGGGAGCAAACAGG